AUCCUAUAGACACCUUUUUAAUCCUUCAAUCACAGACGUAACUCGAUUUCACAAAACAGUCAGAGUAAUCAAACCCACUUCAUUAAAAAUCCUGAUUCACCAUUACAACACUGACUUCAGUAACGAUUGCCUUAGUCUUCUCAAAACCCUAUGAAGAAAAAAAACCCAAUUCUCUAUCUUCUUUCCCCGCCAGAAGCAUGAAGCUAGCUCUCUCAAUCCUUCAAAAAAAACCUGCCCAAAAACUAUUCUCCCCC
rnacentral:lncRNA from 1 species